rnacentral:misc_RNA from 1 species
UCAUAAUCCAACCAAUUUUUCUAUACAGCACAAGUUUUGCAAAUGUUUAUAAACUAUUUGCAUAACUUUUAUUAAAAAAAUGGCCAAAAGUUAAAACACCGGUCCUUAUGAAGGAUUGGAUAACCAAACUGUGUUAAAACGGAUCCAACAAAUUCGGACCCUAAAUUUUGGCCCGGGUACCAGGCUAGGGUCCCAUAAUGGGUGUGGAACCGCAAAAAGACCAACCGAAAGAGAUGGACUGGAAAACUCUGGGUGGAACGGAGAGUAGUGAGGCUAAUGUUGGACCAGCUGUGAAGAAACGACUUCCAAAAAGGAUUCGACAAGUUCCUGAGUAUUAUUUUCUUCCACGAAGAUCCUUACCAUACUCCAUCGCCUUUUAUGGGUCGUUUAUUGCUGCAGGUGUUGGUGCAGGAAUGCUACUCGAAGCAUGGAUCAACAAGAAGGUAAAAGAGGAUGGAGGAGUCAUUUGGGAGUUCGACAAGUGAACGAUGUGUUCUUUUCAUGUUUGGAUUGCUACUGCUUUUGCCUCAAGGAGUUCACUGAAGAUGAAUAGCAUAACCAUUACUACAUGAUGAUAAAUGCUUCUUCAGCAUCCAAUUCAACUUGUAGGUUGUAAUAUUUCAGGUGCACAGUGCAGAACAGAUGUGUUGAAUUUGGCAAACAAUACUAAAACAUUAGGUCGUAUUUUUACCUUUAUAGCUUAACCUUUGAAUAAAUAGAGAGGC